rnacentral:rRNA from 1 species
UACGGAGGAUGCAAGCGUAAUCCGGAAUGAUUGGGCGUAAAGCGUCCGCAGGUGGUUGUGUGUGUCUAUUGUCAAAGCAUCAUGCUUAACAUGAUAAAGGCAGUAGAAACUACACGACUAGAGUGCGUUCGGGGCAGAGGGAAUUCCUGGUGUAGCGGUGAAAUGCGUAGAGAUCAGGAAGAACACCGGUGGCGAAAGCGCUCUGCUAGGCCGCAACUGAAACUGAGGGAAGAAAGCUAGGGGAGCGAAUGGG